UACGGAGGGUGCAAGCGUUAAUCGGAAUUACUGGGCGUAAAGCGUGCGUAGACGGCUAUCUAAGUCGGGUGUGAAAGCCCCGGGCUCAACCUGGGAAUUGCAUUCGAGACUGAAUAGCUAGGGUACGGUAGAGGGAAGUGGAAUUUCCGGUGUAGCGGUGAAAUGCGUAGAUAUCGGAAGGAACAUCAGUGGCGAAAGCGACUUCCUGGACCAGUACCGACGUUCAGGCACGAAAGCGUGGGGAGCAAACAGG
rnacentral:rRNA from 1 species